rnacentral:lncRNA from 1 species
AUAGGUACUUUGGAAAGGAUCUUAUUAGGGCACCAAUCAAGGAUAUGGGCCUAAACUCAUUAAGGCCUUGUGAAUCAUAGACCUCGGGAAAAAGAGUGAUGAAGAAAGAAUUACUUCCCCUAGGUAAGACCUCAUUGUGAUAGAACUCAAAAAAAAAAAAAAAACUUCAACACAUCAUCUUUUAUUAAGUGUCAAAACAUUUUGAAGAAUUUGAAAUUAAAGCAUCACAAUCCUUCAAAGCUUGUAGUACUUCUUCCUCUCCAAACCUCUUUACCAAAAGUGUUAUCCACCUCUUUGAUCUUCUUGAAAGGGACUCCAUCAAGUGUUGGUCUAUCA